rnacentral:tRNA from 1 species
GCCGGAGUAACUCAGUUGGUAGAGUAGCUGUUUCGUAAAUAGCAAGUCGUGGGUCCGAAUCCCACCUCCGGCU